rnacentral:rRNA from 1 species
UGCGUAGGGUGCAAGCGUUGUCCGGAAUUAUUGGGCGUAAAGAGCUCGUAGGCGGUUUGUCACGUCUGCUGUGAAAACUGGAGGCUCAACCUCCAGCCUGCAGUGGGUACGGGCAGACUAGAGUGCGGUAGGGGAGAUUGGAACUCCUGGUGUAGCGGUGGAAUGCGCAGAUAGUCAGGAGGAACACCGGUGGCGAAGGCAGUGGUCUGGGCCGAUACUGACGCUGAGGAGCGAAAGCGUGGGGAGCGAACAGG